rnacentral:miRNA from 1 species
GUUCUCCAGGGGGUGUGGCCUCAGGGAGGAGGUGUGGUCUGGGGAGAGUCACAAGGGCCAAAUGCAUCCCUGACCCUUUCUAUUUGGCUCUUGUGGCUCAUCCCAGACCACACCCCCUCCCUGAGGCCACACCUUCUGGAGGG